rnacentral:rRNA from 1 species
GACGAACGCUGGCGGCGUGCCUAAUACAUGCAAGUCGAACGAAGUGGCGCGCGGAUGAGUAAUUUAUAGCUAAUCUGCCCUACACAGAGGAACAACACUUGUAAACGACUGCUAAUACCUCAUAGUGUAGGAUGAUACUAUAUCAUAUAAUCUAGUUGGUAAGGUAAUGGCUUACCACGGGUAGGACGAGUAACUGGUAUGCGAGGAUGAUCAGUAAACUUGGAACUGAGACACGGUCCAAACUCAUACGGGAAGGAGCAGUAAGGAGUAAUUCGCAAUGGGCGUAACCCUGACGCAGCAACGCCGCGUGGAGGAUGACACUUUUCGGAGCGUAAACUACGUUUAUCAGGAAAGCGGUACCUGAUGAAUAAGCACCGGCUAACUCCGUGCCAGCAGCCGCGGUAAUAC